CCCUUAGAUGUCCUGGGCCGCACGCGCGUUACACUGAUGCAUUCAACGAGCUUAUAACCUUGGCCGAGAGGCCUGGGCAAUCUUGUUAACGUGCAUCGUGAUAGGGAUAGAUUAUUGAAAUUAUUAAUCUUGAACGAGGAAUUCCUAGUAAACGCAGAUCAUCAAUCUGCAUUGAUUACGUCCCCGCCCUUUGUACGCACCGCCCGUCGCACCUACCGAUUGGAUGGUCCGGUGAAGCCUCGGGAUUGUGGUUCUUGCCGCUUUAUUGUGGCGUGACCGCGAGAACUUGUCUAAACCUUAUCAUCUAGAGGAAGGUGAAGUCGUAACA
rnacentral:rRNA from 1 species